AAACAAGAGCUGAAAGCAUUCCGAAGCACAAGCUGUUUCUUAGAAAUGGAUUGUUGAAAUCAGUGGGAAUUCUGCAUGCAGAUGUCUGGAAGAAUCAGUUGGUGGCUCUGACAAAUGAGGGCAAAGGUGAUCAGACUUGAAGCUUCCCAGCUACCGAACUCAUCAAACAAGUGAUUGGUGACUGCAGCAGGUGUUCCUUUCAUGUACCACAAUGAAAAAGAUACCCACAUUUUCCAAAAUGUAUGAAUGAACAAGAGUACAAUUGUCUCACACAGGGAUCACCAAACCUAACAAACAGACAUGGAUAGUAGGAGUACUGGAGAGGUAGGAGGAAUGCUGGAGAGGCUCAGAUUGUUUUUCUUACUGCUGCUUUGGUUUACAUCAGACAUGUCUGUCACAGGGAAGACUAUCCACCAUGAGCCUGCAAGUGGAUAAAAGGCUUGAGAGAGAUCAAUGACACCCUCUGCUGUUUCUCAGAGGGAUGAGCAGCACCUCACUGUGCCAGGCUGUUGCCUUCAUAGCUGUCAAAAGCAGAACCUGACACAUGCUGCAAUGUGAUCUUAGACAAUUUUCAGUUUCAACCCAAUUAAAUGCAGUGUCUUUCAUUCAACUGAAACAGAGACCCUCCAGAUAGAGGUGAAUUGUGCUCUC